GACGAACGCUGGCGGCGUGCCUAAUACAUGCAGGUAGAACGCUGAAGCGAGGAGCUUACUCUUCUUGGAUGAGUUGCGAACGGGUGAGUAACGCGUAGGUAACCUGCCUUGUAGCGGGGGAUAACUAUUGGAAACGAUAGCUAAUACCGCAUAACAAUGGAUGACACAUGUCAUUUAUUUGAAAGGGGCAAUUGCUCCACUACAAGAUGGACCUGCGUUGUAUUAGCUAGUAGGUGAGGUAAUGGCUCACCUAGGCGACGAUACAUAGCCGACCUGAGAGGGUGAUCGGCCACACUGGGACUGAGACACGGCCCAGACUCCUACGGGAGGCAGCAGUAGGGAAUCUUCGGCAAUGGGGGCAACCCUGACCGAGCAACGCCGCGUGAGUGAAGAAGGUUUUCGGAUCGUAAAGCUCUGUUGUAAGUCAAGAACGGGUGUGAGAGUGGAAAGUUCACACUGUGACGGUAGCUUACCAGAAAGGGACGGCUAACUACGUG
rnacentral:rRNA from 1 species